GUGUGUGUGUGUGUUACAAUUUCUGCACCCAAAACAAAUCUAAAGCUAAAAUAAAAAACGAAAUCAACUCGCCAACCAAAUCACCGUGAGACAGCUUCACCUCGCCAGCCAAAUCACCGUGAGACAGCUUCACCUCGCCAGCCACCGCGCAAUCGAAAAAGCUUUGCUCGCCAGCCACCGCGCGACAGCUUCUGAUCUGCUCACCAGCCACCACGCGACGGCUUCUGGUCUGCUCGCCAACCACUGCACAUCAUUUUCUGCUCUGCUCGCGCAGCCAGCCACCGUGCACCAGUAGGAGUAAUGUUGAUGCGAGAUUCCGGUUCUCCUCGUUCCACGACCAGGAUCUCUGCUCGAUCAACUUCACCACGACCAGGAGGUCUCCUAGUAAUGCUUCUUCUCCGGAUGUCCCUGCACAAACAGACAAGUCAGAGUACGCCGGUUGUUCCCCCGGCGCAAACCCUCCGACGCUCAAGUCAGAUAUGAAGGUUCAGGGAACGCUUGCCACAGGUCUUAUGGCUUUUUCGUGGUUUUUUUCUUCUAUCUCAAAAAUGCCAACCCUUUUACCUUCGUUGGCUACCUUUUUAUAGGCUUCCUCUGAAUCUCAGUCUUCCGCCCUUUUCCAGACGGUAUGGGACUCCAACUGCUGCGUUAUGGGCAAACGUGGGAUCUAGCGUGUUACGCCACGGUUCAGGGGAAAGCGUGGCUGUCAUGGCUCUGUGAGACUUUGCGUGUUACGCCACGGUUCUGGGGAAAGCGUGGCUGUUGUGCCUAGAUUCUCGUGCUGGAGAGCACGUCUUGCCAACUGCCGUCGACCGGGUCUCCUCGCCUCUUGACCUCUAGCCGUAAUGGCCUUAUGCCUUUUAUAGGGAAUUGGCCUCGCGGAUGACAACAUCGUGGACGAGCAGGAUAUUUCUGCUCCUGUUCUUCCGCGCACCAGGCUUUUACGGAACACACCGGUUCGCAGAACUCUGCCAUCAGAUAUCUGCUCGUCAUUCCUGGUCUCGUCGACGUAUUUAUCCCAAACAGUGAGCCGAGCAGCAUCGGUCGGCUGGACCUCCUCGGGUGCAGGGGGGGUAUCACCAGUUGCGUCCGGGGGGGUGCUCGCCUCGCCAACAUCAGCAGGGACUGCACGAGGAGGAGAGUUUUCCUCCUCGAUCACGAUCGGCUCUACCCCCUCGGUAUCUUCCUUGGCCGCCUCCUCAUCCAUAUGCUGAGCAACACCAGCUGCAAGGUCAUCCAUCUUCAGGUCAGGGUGUUGCUUCCCGAGGACGGCCAUGAUGCAACGAUAGGAAUGCCGAAGUCCCUGGUCGUACUGGUUGUCGGCCUCCCUCUCCAAGUUCUCGACCUGAGCUCGGUGGUUCUCGAUCUGAGCUCGGUGGGAGUCGCGGAGAGAUUCGAGCUGAGCCUCAUACAUAGCCUUCUGCCUUUGCAGAUCCUCCUUGACCUUGGUAAGCUCCUCCUCAAGGGUAAUGGCUUUUGCUUGAGCAAGUGAUUCUUGCUCUAUCAGCUUCAGGUUCUCGAGAUUCAGCUCCCCUGCUUUCUUCUCGGCAGCGUCAGCUCUGGUCGUCGCCGACUGAAUGUCCCCCUUCAUCUUCCGGUCGUAGCGGCCCACCUUAGCCUUGUAAUAGGUGGUCAUGCAGCUGAGGUGGAAGGCGCUAUGCUGAAUGGCCCCCACCAGCUCACCCAAGGUGCGGCCAUCAAAGUCCUCCAGCUCCUCCUUGCUCACGAGUUUAGCUAACUCAUUGAGGUAAGGGACCAGAGGUUCUGCUCGGCUGUCAGGUAAGCGAGAUCGAGGCCGACAGGAGGAGAAGAGGUAGCGGGAUCUGUGGCUGCUCCACUAGCUUCCCCAACUUUUACAGGAGCAGGAGGUAAAAUAUUCAAGGGUAGGGCCUGCUGCACGAUGUUGGCCCGCUUUGCAGUAGGGGCAUCCUUACUCUCGUCCCUCUUCGUGGUUGGAGGUCGAGAACGUUUUCGGGUCAGAGCCGCCAUCACAGCGUCCUCCAUCCUAUGGCCAGGAAGUAUCAAGCGAGACUCGAGCAAGUUGUAUGUACUUAACAGUUCCCGGCUCGAGCAGGAAUUGGCCAGUACCGCCUCGACCCGUUUGAGCUGGUCAGGUCCGAGCGGGAAGUGGACACCCCAAGAAACUACAACACAAACAAGACACUUGGUUAGAAACAAGCCAAUAAAACAAGAACAAGUAUGGAUACAAGGCAUCUGAAGCAAGCAGGCAACCUGGGACCGUGAAACGGGGUGGGACCCGAUAAUCCCUCCCGUCCAUUUGUGCGACCUGACCCCACGGACCCCCAGCAAAAAAGAACUUUCUCUUCCAAUUCCCGCCACCACCAGUAGGGAGGUCGGUUAUAGGUUUCCUGCUCUUGGUGCUAGAUUGGAAGUAGUACCAGCCGGCAUCUUUGGGGCUGCUCUUUAGCUGGUACAUGUGCUUCACCUCAUCAACCGUGGGCUCGCUUUGGCAACAUCUGUCCCACAAAAUGAACAGACCAGAGAGCACUCUCCACCCAUUGGGAUUCAGCUGACCAGGAGCCAGAUUUAGCCCGUUAAGUAUCCGGGCAAAGUAAGGUUGCAAGGGACACCUCAGCCCGUACUUAAAGCUGUCCAGAUACAGGGUAACAUAUCCCCUAGGAGGGCGGCUGGGAGCAUCCUUCUUUCCUGGGACCUUGAGAAGUAUUUCACCAGGGAUGCUAUACCUCAGCCGGAGGUCCUCGAGCUCAUCAAACGUGGUCGUGCACGUCAUGUAAUCAAUAGCGUAGUCCCGCGAUAGGGCUCUACCUCCUAUUCUACUCCUCCCUUCUAGUCGCGGCGCUCCUGAUGGGGACGCCUCACCAGAAUCAUCCCCUUGACCCUCACUCAAGGUGUUCUCCGAUCCAGAAGAUCCUUCUUCAUCGCUACUGUCGCUCGAGGAGGUUGUUUGGGGAGACAUCCUCCUAGCGCUAGUACCAACACUAGACCUAAUGGGCUCUAAGGGGAUCCCGGGGUCAAAAGCGGGAUCAGCGAGCAGACUAGGUAGGAAGUCCAACUCGUCGUCAUCAACCUCAAUGACCUUCUCUUUGCCUUUCGACAUUCCCUAAACUCUAACCACAACGCCACCAACUACUACCCAAACGAAAGAAAAAAGAAGUUAUCUAUAAACUAUCCGAGACCGAGGAGAGAGAAGUAAUACCUGAAGCACUGCUCCAAUCGGAGAAAGGCAAGGAUGGGGCCUUUGCGCCGGAACUUCUUUGCCGGAGAAACAGAGACGGAGACGGAGUGAAUGGUGAAUAUGCCGUUCGAGAGGAUUCGGCUUUCCAAAUGAGGACGGACUCUUGGGUUGCCAGCAUAUAACUGCGCCGAAUCCCGAGGAAUCUCGUAACCGUCGGUUUGAAAUUCAAAUGGAGGGCGGGAUUUCUGCCACGUCACCUCGUCCGCAAUUAAAUGCGACAUGACUCUUGGCAGCCUUUUCCAAUCCCACGCGAGCGAGUACUAUCGAGUUUCUACUGCUGGUCCACUACAUUACCCAACACCAGAAACUGGGGGACCGAUGUUUGGGAGAGAUACUGUUUGGGAUAAAUACGUCGACGAGACCAGGAAUGACGAGCAGAUAUCUGAUGGCGGAGUUCUGCGAACCGGUGUGUUCCGUAAAAGCCUGGUGCGCGGAAGAACAGGAGCAGAAAUAUCCUGCUCGUCCACGAUGUUGUCAUCCGCGAGGCCAAUUCCCUAUAAAAGGCAUAAGGCCAUUCCGGCUAGAGGUCAAGAGGCGAGGAGACCCGGUCGACGGCAGUUGGCAAGACGUGCUCUCCAGCACGAGAAUCUAGGCACAACAGCCACGCUUUCCCCAGAACCGUGGCGUAACACGCAAGAUCUCACAGAACCAUGACAGCCACGCUUUCCCCAGAACCGUGGCGUAACACGCAAAGUCUCACAGAGCCAUGACAGCCACGCUUUCCCCUGAACCGUGGCGUAACACGCUAGAUCCCACGUUUGCCCAUAACGCAGCAGUUGGAGUCCCAUACCGUCUGGAAAAGGGCGGAAGACUGAGAUUCAGAGGAAGCCUAUAAAAAGGUAGCCAACGAAGGUAAAAGGGUUGGCAUUUUUGAGAUAGAAGAAAAAAACCACGAAAAAGCCAUAAGACCUGUGGCAAGCGUUCCCUGAACCUUCAUAUCUGACUUGAGCGUCGGAGGGUUUGCGCCGGGGGAACAACCGGCGUACUCUGACUUGUCUGUUUGUGCAGGGACAUCCGGAGAAGAAGCAUUACUAGGAGACCUCCUGGUCGUGGUGAAGUUGAUCGAGCAGAGAUCCUGGUCGUGGAACGAGGAGAACCGGAAUCUCGCAUCAACAAGUAAAGUCCUCGUUACUCCAUACACUUUAUUAUAACAUUUGCAUAAAUUGCAUUUAGUAAUGCAUUUAGUAAGUCCCCGUUAAAUGACUGUUAUUGCUUUAAUUUUUUAUAUAAUUUUUUUAAGUGAAAACACUUUUACAACAUGAUUAGAAUUAAAUAUUUUCAUAAAUCCAAAUCUAAUCCACUAGGAAAGAUAAUAACAAUUAAGAAUAUUAAGUUCCAUAAUAUGACUAUAUUUAGAUUUUAUUUUGAUAUUAUGAUUGUUAUAAUUUUGUAAGAUGGAGGUCAGUGUUGGUGAAGUACAAAAGGCUAAUAAUGAAGUGCAAAUGACAGUUGAUUAAUGUUGCUGACCAGUAAGUUUUCUUUAUUUUUUUAAAAAACUAAUAUCUUAUUUAUAUAGAUUGUUUAUUUAAUUAUUUAUUGUUUUAAUUUUUUUUUAUAAAUCCAAAUAUUGAGUUGGAAAAUGCCUAAAGUUAUGUUGAUAUUGAUGAAGAUGAGAGAAUGUUGUUGGCAUUUGUUUGUAAUUUUUUUUUUUUUUUUGUGAAGAUGGGAGAAUGUUGUUGGCGUUUGUUUCUAAAUUUUCUUUUUAUUUUGUGUUGUAAGUUGUAAUUGUUGUUAUUUUUAUUUAUCUUUACAACAUUAUGAUUAUGUUUAUGUAGAUGGAGUUUGGUUAUGUAUUUUGAAAUCUUAAUAUUUCAUAUUUUGUGAGUACCUUAUUAGUAGUUAGUAAGAUAUUAGUGAUAAAAUAUGUUUUGAAUACUUUGUAUUUAUUGUUAAUAUUUGUAAUGAAACUAGGAUGAACAAAUUGUUGAAAAAAAUUAUUAUAUUCAUGAGGCCCAAUGAGCUAAAAAUUUAAAAAUUCAAAAUAGGCCCAAUAGGCUCAGAAUCGAAAAAAUCGAACCGAACCGAAAAGAUCCGUUUGAGUUCGGUUCUUAUUUGGUUCUUUUUAUAAAAUAACCGAUUUAAAUCAGUUCUGCUUAAUUUCGAUCCGAACCGAACCGUGCUCACUUUGGGCCAAUCAAGAAAAUGAUAUAUUUUUUUUAAAUUCACACUUAUCGUUUCUAAUGUUUUUAAAUAUUUUAUCUAACUUAAUUAAAAAAAAUCUAACUGUUGCUAGCUAAAGGUCAAUAGUCACUUGCUUUUGUAUUUAUAAAUUUUAUUAUAGGCCCACUUGUAACAUUUAUAUUUCAAAAUGAAUUCUUAACUUAAAAUUUUAACAUAAAUCUUGAGUUAUCGAUUUCAAGUGAUCUAAUGGUAGAUGAAUAACUAUCAUUAAUAUCUAUCAUUAGAUUACCUAAAACCAAUGACUUAAGAUUUGUAUCAAAAUCUUAAAUCAACAAAUUAAGUUAAAAUAACUCCAUCUAUAUAUAUAAUUAUAUGAAAGAGGUCAUUUCAGCUUAAAUUUUUUACUUAAAAUUUUGACAUAAAUUUUGAGUCAUUGAUUUCAUACAAUCUAAUAUUAUAUAUAGAUAGUCAAAGAAGCAAUUAAUAAUGUUAAUUCAGCCAUUGCAUAAAACCAAUGACUCAAAAUUUAUAUAAAUAAUUUAGAUUGAAAUAACCUAACCAAUAUUAUAUUUCAACAACAUUUAUAUUUAAACAUCCGCGGGACUUUGCUACUAGUAUAGUCUAAAUGCUUGGAGUUUAAAAGAGGCUGAAACUGUCGCCAAACAAUUAGAAAAUUAAUCUCUCAUAUCAAGUAUGCAAGAAACUUAAAUAUGUAGUAGAAAGAAAAAGAAUAUUGAAAUAUUUCAUUAAUUAUACAUUGUCUUCUUAAUAAGAAAAUUACACCUUUAUCUUGAAGACAUGACAAAAUAAAAAUAAAAUAUUAACUUAAUCAUGGAAAACAAAUACAUAAUCUAUUAAAGUAGUUAGCAUACUUCCUUAAUCAUGGAAAACAAAUACAUAAUCAAUUAAAGUAGUUAGUAUACAUCGUUAAUCACGGAAAACAAAUACCUAAUCUAUUAAAGUUGGUACUAAUCACUGUGAAAUAUAUGAGAGAUGAGUGUAUUUAUUUAUUUUUUUUAAUACCAAUAUUGCACGUGCUGACUUCAAUCAAACUUAUAUUAAAAAAAAUAUGAAAUUUUUACCUUUUUAUUAUGAUCUAAGAAACAAGAAUAUAGGAAACAAGUGUCUUUUGUUGUUAUAGAAGUGGUAUAUUAACUUAUUCAACAUAAAUAUAUUAUUCAUUUCAAUCACUUGUAUCCAUUAUAGUCUUGUAUAAUAUAUAGUUCACUUUUGUACUAUAGACAAUGAUAACACGCACAUUUGUUCCCUAAAAUAUAAGAAGGAAAAUGAAAACGAUGGCAUAUGAGCUCUCUUUAUUGAGGAAGUAUUAUAAUUAUGUUAGCAAAUGAUCACUUUUACCAUAAUUUGAAAUCAUUAUUUCGUCUUUAAAUGUGACGUGUGAUAUUAUUUAAGAAAGUUUGCACUACUACGUUACAAUUUCCUAAUCACGACAUUCUCUUUACCCGAGCAUACUAUAUACCAUAAGCAUUUUACAUACUUAGGCAUACUAUUUAAAUGUGUCCAAAUGUAGAAUUUGUUAAUCUUCAUAAUGUGUGUGUGGUCAUAUGCAUUUAUCAAAUAAAAAAAGUAACUUUAAAUGAAUUCUUAGUGUGAUGUUAUACUUAAAAAUUCAUAAUGAACUCUUAAAUUUGAGACUUAGUGACUCAUUAUAUAUAAAUUAUAAAACAACUAAUACGAUAAUAAAUGUUAUCAUUAAAACAUAAAUUAUGACAUUAGAUUUAGAACACAAACUUGAAGAAAAUCUUUAAAUUCAGAUUUGGACUAAUGCAUUCUAAAAUGAAUUUUUUUGAAUUGCCAACAAUUUUUACUUUUUCUUUUUAAAUAUUUUUUAAAGGUGGAAACCUAUGAAGGGUAUUGAAGUCAAUAAAUUACUCCAGUAAAGAUUUAAUACUUCAAGGCUCAAGCCUUGGACUUGGUACACGCGGGGUAAAAAGAGUAAAAGACCGCAAGUUAACGGUCAAAGUCAAAACUUUGUACAACUCCUCUAGCUGCCAUAUAAAGAAGUUGACGCCGUGAAGUACCCGUUAACUAACAAUGCUUGGUCCCAUUAGAUGCCGCGUCACCAUCGCUAGUUAACCUAACCCGAGUUAUAUCAUAACUCAGGGAGUUAUCAUUUCACCUCAAUGGUUCCUUUUACUUUUCUUUAAGUUGCAUCCACUGCCAUAUUUUGUCGUUUUUCGAGAAUCAGCUUUCAUUUUUUCGGGGCUGGCAGGCGCAUUAGCAGACACGUGUACGCUCGUUUCCCUAUCUCGGUAAAAUCCAACGGCUGCUAGUAGAAGAUUCCCUUUAAAACGGACCGGUCACAGCAGCAGGGCGGUUUGGAUUUAACCUUUACCGUACUACGAAUUAGUAACGUGUGGGGCCAACCACACGUGCUGGGACCUACGUGGAUCGUUUACACUGCAAUGGGAAUGAUGGGGCCACGGGGUAAGUUUGAAAACUGAGAAUGCCUCACAUACGGGUGGGAAAAAAAUCUUGGUUUUAAAAAUACCGAAUCGAACCGGCGAUUUUUUUUUAAUUCAGAUCGAUUUUUAUUUUUUUUAAAAACUGAAAUAUAUUAUUUGUAAAAAAAUUUAAAAUGUCGGUUUGGUAUUCGGUUCACUCAGCUGAACCGAAAAACUGAAUUAAUUUUAGAUUUUAUUCAAAUCGACAUGUGUUAAAUUUUUUUUUUAUAGACCCAAAUAUUGAGUUGGAAAAUACCUAAAGUCGAUGUUGAUAUUGAUGAAGAUGGGAGAAUGUUGUUGGCGUUUGUUUGCAAUUUUUUUUUUUUUUGGGUGAAGAUGGGAGAAUGUUGUUGGCGUUUGUUUCUAAAUUUUCUUUUUAUUUUGUGUUGUAAGUUGUAAUUGUUGUUAAUUUUAUUUGUCUUUACAACAUUAUGAUUAUGUUUAUGUAGAUGGAG
rnacentral:lncRNA from 1 species